CUGGCUUCCCUGUGAGCCCCCAGGACCUGCCUGUCUCCAUCCCUUCUAUAGACUGUGGCCAGCUUUUACAUGGAGUGCUGAGGGAUCCGAACACAGAUCCUUUUACUUGUGCGGCAAGGAGUUUAUCCACAGAGCCACCUCUCCAGCUCCUGUUUCACGGUUUUUGUUUGUUUGUUUUUUUUAAAGAUUUAUUUAUUUUAUGCAUGUGAGUACACUGUAGCUGUCGUCAGACACAUCAGAAGAGGGCAUCGGAUCCCAUUAUAGAUGGUUGUGAGCCACCAUGUGGUUGCUGGGAACUGAACUCAGGACCUAUGGAAGAAUUGUCAGUGCUCUUAAACCACUAAGCCAUCUCUCCAUUUGAGUUUUUAUGAAGCUUUAUUUUUUACUUGAGAGAGAGAGAGAGAGAGAGAGAGAGAGAGAGAGAGAGAGAGAGAGAGAGACACUGACUCUGUCUCUGAACUGGCCUAGAAUUUAUUACGUAAUCUAGCCUGGUUUCAAAUUCAUGGUUAUGCUCCUGCCUCACAUCUGUGAUUACUCAGGUAACAGGUACAACACUCCCAGCCGAGAGUCCUGUUUGCUGACCUUUUUGAGAUGCUCACAGACUCUGGUGGCAGCGUUUCCACCGUGCUGCAGGAGCCUCCCCCUGGCCCUCAGUACCUUUCUACCCUCUGUGACCAUCCUCUUGGAUGCUCCAGCUUUGUUUGCCUGUUUAUUCAGGCAAUGUCGAGAAUCCCUUCGAGGAGCUCCGUCCCAGUCUGACUUGCAUCAGAACUUGGCACUUUGGUGCCCGCUUCGUACUAAGUUAGAGCAACGCUGUAUUUUUUUAAGAGAAGGGAAUUUUGUUACCCUUGUACACAUUGAAAAGAUCUAUAGAUGCAAUUAGUCAGAAGCACGUGUCGACAUUGACAAGUGAAGCCUUUGGAGCCUCAGUCACUCAUGACUUGCCUCCUUUGUUACCUGCCUGAUCUGCAGUCUCAUGUUGGCCCUGAUUCAUGGUGGUCAGCACGUAAGGUUGUUGUGCCUGGUAGGGGCAGAAAGUUUAGCCACUGAGCAGUACCACAAAAUGGCUGUGACCUUGAACGGACAAAGAACUCAGGAAGUGACAGUUCUGGGUGAUGAUAAGACAGCACAACCUGGUCUUGGACUAAAAAUGCAGUUUUGAUCAAGAAGAAGGAAGACUAAAGUGUGGAUACUUCAGUCCUUCUUAGAAUGGGGAACAAAAUACCCAUGGAAGGAGUUACAGAGACAAAGUUCGGAGCUAAGGCGGAAGGAAGGACAAUCCAGAGACUGCCCCACCUGGGGAUCCAUCCCAUAUACAACCACCAAGCCCAGACACUAUUGCAUAUGCCAGAAAGACUUUGCUGACAGGACCCUGAUAUAGCUCUCUCUUGUGAGGCUAUGCCAGUGCCUGGCAAAUACAGAAGUGGAUGAUCAUAGUCAUCUCUUGGAUGGAACACAGGGCCCCCAACGGAGGAGCUAGAGAAAGUACCCAAGGAGCUGAAGGGUUCUGCAACCCUAUAGGUGGAACAACAAUAUGAACUAACCAGUACACCCAGAGCUUGUGUCUCUAGCUGCACGUGUAGCAGAAGAUGGCCUAGUUGGCCAUCAAUGGGAAGAGAGGUCCCUUGGUCUUCCAAAUUUUAUAUGCCCCAGUACAGGGGAAUGCCAGGGCCAAGAAGUGGAAGUGGGUAGGUAGGGGAGCA
rnacentral:lncRNA from 1 species